UGGUUGUGCUCACACCAUGAAUGUGCAC
rnacentral:piRNA from 1 species